rnacentral:tRNA from 1 species
GUGGCGCAAUGGUUAAAGCAUUGGGCUGCUACCUCAGAGGUUGGUGGUUCAAAGCCACCC